rnacentral:rRNA from 1 species
GUCCACGCUGUAAACGAUGUCUACUAGCCGUUGGGCGACUUGAUCGCUUAGUGGCGCAGUUAACGCGAUAAGUAGACCGCCUGGGGAGUACGGCCGCAAGGUUAAACUCAAAUGAAUUGACGGGGCCCGCACAAGCGGUGGAGCAUGUGGUUUAAUUCGAUGCAACGCGAAGAACCUUACCAGGUCUUGACAUCCUAGGAAUCCUGCAGAGAUGCGGGAGUGCCUUCGGGAAUCUAGAGACAGGUGCUGCAUGGCUGUCGU